AUUGAACGCUAGCGGCAUGCCUUACACAUGCAAGUCGAACGGAGUGGCGAACGGGUGAGUAAUGUAUCGGAACGUGCCCCGUAGCGGGGGAUAACUACGCGAAAGCGUAGCUAAUACCGCAUACUCUUGCACCGGUCUAUACCGGAUUAGCUAGUUGGUGGGGUAACGGCCAACCCAGGCGACGACCAGUAGCUGGUUUGAGAGGACGACCAGCCACACUGGAACUGAGACACGGUCCAGACUCCUACGGGAGGCAGCAGUGGGGAAUAUUGGACAAUGGGGGAAACCCUGAUGCAGCCAUGCCGCGUGUGUGAAGAAGGCCUUCGGGUUGUAAAGCACUUUCAGCGGGGAGGCGGUACCUGCAGAAGAAGCACCGGCUAACUACGUGCCAGCAGCCGCGGUAAUAC
rnacentral:rRNA from 1 species